rnacentral:tRNA from 1 species
GGCAAUACAAUGGGAUCGAAAUAGUGCAGUUGACUCUUAAUCAAUUGGUUGUAGGUUCGAGUCCUACUGGGGUCA